UGGCAACAAUACCUUUGCUCGUCAUAUCCAUUGGCAACACGUUCUCCGAAGACGUCUGGGAAAAGACAUGUCAAUGUGUAAAGACGAUAUUUGAAUCAACCGUACCUCACGAACUAUUGAAAUGGAGACCCGCUGACCAUAAUUAAUGAGUCCACCCACACCUGAUGUCACUCCUCCGUCAUCACCACUCAAGAUAAUGUUACCUGUCGACCUGGAGGAUGAUAUCGUGCCCAAAUAUCUGGAAGACGAGGACGAACAAGAUGGUCAGCAAUCGUCAAAAGGUUUGAAUGAAACGGAGGAGGAAAAUGCCUCAAGAAACAGUUGAAGAAACAAAAGAACAAGACAGCAUCAGUUUACAUAGUACGCCUAGUUUACGAUUUGAACCUGUCGAAGAACACGAAC